UACGGAGGGUGCAAGCGUUAUCCGGAUUCACUGGGUUUAAAGGAUGCGUAGGUGGGCAGGUAAGUCAGUGGUGAAAUCUCCGGGCUUAACCCGGAAACUGCCAUUGAUACUAUUUGUCUUGAAUACCGUGGAGGUCAGCGGAAUAUGUCAUGUAGCGGUGAAAUGCUUAGAUAUGACAUAGAACACCAAUUGCGAAGGCAGCUGGCUACACGAAUAUUGACACUGAGGCACGAAAGCGUGGGUAGCAAACAGG
rnacentral:rRNA from 1 species